rnacentral:rRNA from 1 species
UACGUAGGGGGCUAGCGUUGUCCGGAUUUAUUGGGCGUAAAGAGCGUGUAGGCGGCCAGGUAGGUCUGGUGUGAAAACUCGAGGCUUAACCUCGAGAUGUCAUCGGAAACCAUCUGGCUAGAGUCCGGAAGAGGAGAGUGGAAUUCCUGGUGUAGCGGUGGAAUGCGCAGAUAUCAGGAGGAACACCGGUGGCGAGGGCGGGUCUCUGGGCCGAUACUGACGCUGAGGAGCGAAAGCGUGGGGAGCGAACAGG